CCCUUAGAGUUUGAUCCUGGCUCAGAUUGAACGCUGGCGGCAUGCCUUACACAUGCAAGUCGAACGGUAACAGGCCUUCGGGUGCUGACGAGUGGCGAACGGGUGAGUAAUACAUCGGAACGUACCCAGUAGCGGGGGAUAACACAUCGAAAGAUGUGCUAAUACCGCAUACGCCCUAAGGGGGAAAGCGGGGGAUCUUCGGACCUCGCACUAUUGGAGCGGCCGAUGCCGGAUUAGCUAGUUGGUGAGGUAAAGGCUCACCAAGGCGACGAUCCGUAGCUGGUCUGAGAGGACGACCAGCCACACUGGGACUGAGACACGGCCCAGACUCCUACGGGAGGCAGCAGUGGGGAAUUUUGGACAAUGGGGGCAACCCCGAUCCAGCAAUGCCGCGUGUGUGAAGAAGGCCUUCGGGUUGUAAAGCACUUUUGUCAGGGAAGAAACGGUUCUGGUUAAUACCUGGAACUAAUGACGGUACCUGAAGAAUAAGCACCGGCUAACUACGUGCCAGCAGCCGCGGUAAUACGUAGGGUGCAAGCGUUAAUCGGAAUUACUGGGCGUAAAGCGUGCGCAGGCGGUUCUGUAAGUCAGAUGUGAAAUCCCCGGGCUCAACCUGGGAACUGCAUUUGAAA
rnacentral:rRNA from 1 species